UACGAAGGGGGCUAGCGUUGCUCGGAAUCACUGGGCGUAAAGCGCACGUAGGCAGACUCUUAAGUCGGUGGUGAAAUCCUGGAGCUCAACUCCAGAACUGCCUUCGAUACUGAGAGUCUCGAGUCCGGGAGAGGUGAGUGGAACUGCGAGUGUAGAGGUGAAAUUCGUAGAUAUUCGCAAGAACACCAGUGGCGAAGGCGGCUCACUGGCCCGGUACUGACGCUGAGGUGCGAAAGCGUGGGGAGCAAACAGG
rnacentral:rRNA from 1 species